GGUACAGUUCUAGGCCUUGAGGUUUUUUUGGAGUGCUACAGAGUGGAUUAACAUGGCCCCUGUUCAAGGAUGACAUGCAAAAUCAAGAAACGUUCCACAUUUUU